GAUGAACGCUGGCGGCGUGCCUAAUACAUGCAAGUCGAACGAAACUUCUUUAUCACCGAGUGCUUGCACUCACCGAUAAAGAGUUGAGUGGCGAACGGGUGAGUAACACGUGGGCAACCUGCCCAAAAGAGGGGGAUAACACUUGGAAACAGGUGCUAAUACCGCAUAACCAUAGUUACCGCAUGGUAACUAUGUAAAAGGUGGCUAUACUACCGCUUUUGGAUGGGCCCGCGGCGCAUUAGCUAGUUGGUAGGGUAAAGGCUUACCAAGGCAAUGAUGCGUAGCCGAAUUGAGAGGUUGAUCGGCCACAUUGGGACUGAGACACGGCCCAAACCCCUACGGGAGGCAGCAGUAGGGAAUCUUCCACAAUGGGCGAAAGCCUGAUGGAGCAACGCCGCGUGGGUGAAGAAGGUCUUCGGAUCGUAAAACCCUGUUGUUAGAGAAGAAAGUGCGUGAGAGUAACUGUUCACGUUUCGACGGUAUCUAACCAGAAAGCCACGGCUAACUACGUG
rnacentral:rRNA from 1 species